rnacentral:rRNA from 1 species
AUUGAACGCUGGCGGCAUGCUUUACACAUGCAAGUCGAACGGUAACAGGUUAAGCUGACGAGUGGCGAACGGGUGAGUAAUACAUCGGAACGUGCCUGAUAGUGGGGAACAACUACUUGAAAAAGUAGCUAAUGCCGCAUACAGUCCAAGGACGAAAGGGGGGGAUCGCAAGACCUCUCGCUAACAGAGCGGCCGAUGUCAGAUUAGGUAGUUGGUAGGGCAAAGGCCUACCAAGCCUGCGAUCUGUAGCUGGUCUAGAGGACGACCAGCCACACUGGGACUGAGACACGGCCCAGACUCCUACGGGAGGCAGCAGUGGGGAAUUUUGGACAAUGGGCGCAAGCCUGAUCCAGCAAUGCCGCGUGCAGGACGAAGGCCUUCGGGUUGUAAACUGCUUUUGUACAGAGCGAAAAGCAUCAAGCGAAUAACUUGGUGUCAUGACGGUACUGUAAGAAUAAGCACCGGCUAACUACGUGCCAGCCGCCGCAGUAA